UGUGAACUCGAAGAGUAGGGCGGGACACGUGGUAUCCUGUCUGAAUAUGGGGGGACCAUCCUCCAAGGCUAAAUACUCCUGACUGACCGAUAGUGAACCAGUACCGUGAGGGAAAGGCGAAAAGAACCCCGGCGAGGGGAGUGAAAAAGAACCUGAAACCGUGUACGUACAAGCAGUGGGAGCACCUUCGGGUGUGACUGCGUACCUUUUGUAUAAUGGGUCAGCGACUUAUAUUCUGUAGCAAGGUUAACCGUAUAGGGGAGCCGCAGGGAAACCGAGUCUUAACUGGGCGUUAAGUUGCAGGGUAUAGACCCGAAACCCGGUGAUCUAGCCAUGGGCAGGUUGAAGGUUGGGUAACACUAACUGGAGGACCGAACCGACUAAUGUUGAAAAAUUAGCGGAUGACUUGUGGCUGGGGGUGAAAGGCCAAUCAAACCGGGAGAUAGCUGGUUCUCCCCGAAAGCUAUUUAGGUAGCGCCUCGUGAACUCAUCUUCGGGGGUAGAGCACUGUUUCGGCUAGGGGGUCAUCCCGACUUACCAACCCGAUGCAAACUACGAAUACCGAAGAAUGUUAUCACGGGAGACACACGGCGGGUGCUAACGUCCGUCGUGAAGAGGGAAACAACCCAGACCGCCAGCUAAGGUCCCAAAGUCAUGGUUAAGUGGGAAACGAUGUGGGAAGGCACAGACAGCCAGGAUGUUGGCUUAGAAGCAGCCAUCAUUUAAAGAAAGCGUAAUAGCUCACUGGUCGAGUCGGCCUGCGCGGAAGAUGUAACGGGGCUAAACCAUGCACCGAAGCUGCGGCAGCGACACUAUGUGUUGUUGGGUAGGGGAGCGUUCUGUAAGCCUGCGAAGGUGUGCUGUGAGGCAUGCUGGAGGUAUCAGAAGUGCGAAUGCUGACAUAAGUAACGAUAAAGCGGGUGAAAAGCCCGCUCGCCGGAAGACCAAGGGUUCCUGUCCAACGUUAAUCGGGGCAGGGUGAGUCGACCCCUAAGGCGAGGCCGAAAGGCGUAGUCGAUGGGAAACAGGUUAAUAUUCCUGUACUUGGUGUUACUGCGAAGGGGGGACGGAGAAGGCUAUGUUAGCCGGGCGACGGUUGUCCCGGUUUAAGCAUGUAGGCUGGUUGUCCAGGCAAAUCCGGAUAAUCAAGGCUGAGGUGUGAUGACGAGGCACUACGGUGCUGAAGUAACAAAUGCCCUGCUUCCAGGAAAAGCCUCUAAGCAUCAGGUAACAUCAAAUCGUACCCCAAACCGACACAGGUGGUCAGGUAGAGAAUACCAAGGCGCUUGAGAGAACUCGGGUGAAGGAACUAGGCAAAAUGGUGCCGUAACUUCGGGAGAAGGCACGCUGGUGUGUAGGUGAAGUCCCUGCGGAUGGAGCUGAGACCAGUCGAAGAUACCAGCUGGCUGCAACUGUUUAUUAAAAACACAGCACUGUGCAAACACGAAAGUGGACGUAUACGGUGUGACGCCUGCCCGGUGCCGGAAGGUUAAUUGAUGGGGUUAUCCGUAAGGAGAAGCUCUUGAUCGAAGCCCCGGUAAACGGCGGCCGUAACUAUAACGGUCCUAAGGUAGCGAAAUUCCUUGUCGGGUAAGUUCCGACCUGCACGAAUGGCGUAAUGAUGGCCAGGCUGUCUCCACCCGAGACUCAGUGAAAUUGAACUCGCUGUGAAGAUGCAGUGUACCCGCGGCAAGACGGAAAGACCCCGUGAACCUUUACUAUAGCUUGACACUGAACAUUGAGCCUUGAUGUGUAGGAUAGGUGGGAGGCUUUGAAGCGUGGACGCCAGUCUGCGUGGAGCCAACCUUGAAAUACCACCCUUUAAUGUUUGAUGUUCUAACGUUGGCCCCUUACCGGGGUUGCGGACAGUGUCUGGUGGGUAGUUUGACUGGGGCGGUCUCCUCCCAAAGCGUAACGGAGGAGCACGAAGGUUAGCUAAUCCUGGUCGGACAUCAGGAGGUUAGUGCAAUGGCAUAAGCUAGCUUGACUGCGAGCGUGACGGCGCGAGCAGGUGCGAAAGCAGGUCAUAGUGAUCCGGUGGUUCUGAAUGGAAGGGCCAUCGCUCAACGGAUAAAAGGUACUCCGGGGAUAACAGGCUGAUACCGCCCAAGAGUUCAUAUCGACGGCGGUGUUUGGCACCUCGAUGUCGGCUCAUCACAUCCUGGGGCUGAAGUAGGUCCCAAGGGUAUGGCUGUUCGCCAUUUAAAGUGGUACGCGAGCUGGGUUUAGAACGUCGUGAGACAGUUCGGUCCCUAUCUGCCGUGGGCGCUGGAGAAUUGAGGGGGGCUGCUCCUAGUACGAGAGGACCGGAGUGGACGCAUCACUGGUGUUCGGGUUGUCAUGCCAAUGGCACUGCCCGGUAGCUAAAUGCGGAAGAGAUAAGUGCUGAAAGCAUCUAAGCACGAAACUUGCCCCGAGAUGAGUUCUCCCUGAGACUUUAAGUCUCCUGAAGGAACGUU
rnacentral:rRNA from 1 species